AACGCUGGCGGCGUGCUUCAUACAUGCAAGUCGAACGAGAAGUCACCUUCGGGUGAUGGAAAGUGGCGGACGGGUGAGUAAUGUGUAGAGAAUCUGCCCUUGAUGGGGGACAACAGUUGGAAACGACUGCUAAUACCCCAUAUGAGCUUAGCUGAAAUGCUAAUCUUGAAAACUCCGGUGCUCAAGGAUGAGUCUGCAUCUGAUUAGCUAGUUGGCGGUGUAAUGGACCACCAAGGCUACGAUCAGUAGCUGGUUUGAGAGGAUGAUCAGCCACAAUGGGACUGAGACACGGCCCAUACUCCUACGGGAGGCAGCAGUGGGGAAUAUUGCACAAUGGGCGAAAGCCUGAUGCAGCGACGCCGCGUGAGUGAAGAAGUAUCUCGGUAUGUAAAGCUCUAUCAGCAGGGAAGAAAAUGACGGUACCUGACUAAGAAGCCCCGGCUAACUACGUG
rnacentral:rRNA from 1 species